rnacentral:rRNA from 1 species
UACGAAGGGGGCUAGCGUUGUUCGGAAUUACUGGGCGUAAAGCGCGCGCAGGCGGCUAUCCAAGUCAGUGGUGAAAGCCCGGAGCUCAACUCCGGAACUGCCAUUGAAACUGUUUAGCUGGAGUAUGAGAGAGGUGAGUGGAAUUCCCAGUGUAGAGGUGAAAUUCGUAGAUAUCGGGAGGAACACCGGUGGCGAAGGCGGCGAUCUGGGUCGAUACUGACGCUGAGGUGCGAAGGCGUGGGGAGCAAACAGG